GAAGAGAGGGCGGGACAGAGAGCCCCACACCCCGCUGGGGAGGACUUGGCCAAGGAGGGCUCCCUCCAGCAAGGGAGAACGAGGCAUCUGCCUGGGGCCCAGGAGGAGUCCUUGCAAGGGGGCGAGACUCUCUCUCCCUCCCCAACGGGCACGUCUCGCUUCCAACCCGCACGGGACUCUGCGCAAUCUGCAGUUGCGACGCAAAGCGGCAGCACAGCUGCAGCAGCCCGCUUCGCCGCCCCUGGCUUGGAAUGGUCGCGUCCUCCUCCUCGUGCUGCAGCUGGCGAUGUUCUCAUUGGUGCGGCGGCGGGUUAGAACGUUCAGGCCCGGGGGACGAGACCAUAGGCAGGCAAGCGAGGGGGGAGUGAGGAAGGUGGGGGGCGGAGUUCUCGCGAUGACUCGGAGCCAGCCCGGCGGCCGACUCCCUUUGCUAGUCGACGGGAAGAGAAGCUCCGGGAAGGCGCUCGCGGCGGCGGCGGAGGAAAGCCCGAAGAGCCGGGUCCACUGGACGGAGAGCAAGGCGGGAGUCAGCGAAUAUCCCGGCACGCCUCGACUACCCGAAAAGAGAGAUCACUCGGAUCCUUCAUGUUUUCCGAUGAGAUGGUUUAUUUAUCUUUUAAAUGCAUUGUGCCUAAUACGGGGGUCCCCGGGCAGUGUGGGAUUGCGAUUCUCAUCAUCCGUUGCUAUUGUGGCUGGGGAUUAUGGGAGUUGUAGUCCAACAUAUUGCCUAAUGCUAACAUAUCCCCUGCUAACUUGGCAAAGAGGCACCUUUUAACGUGGUGAUUCUCUUUAUUUAGCAGGGGGAGAGUGACUGGCCCUCUCCACCCCCAGCACAGGACCUCCAGUGACUGUUGAUGGUGUCUAUCUGAUGUUUCUUUUUAGAUUGUGAGCCCUUUGGGGACAGGGAGCCAUCUUAUUUGUUUAUUGUUUCUCUGUGUAAACGGCCCUGAGCCAUUUUAGGAAGGUCAGUAUAGAAACUUAAUAAAUAAUAAUAAUGCAGAGAUACCCAACUCUGGCUCCCCAGAUGUUGAUGGACCCAGAUGCUGCCAUCAUCUCUGUUGGCCAUUGUGGCUGGGAGUGAUGGGAAUUGUAGUCCAGCAGUGUCUGGGCACCCAAGGCUGAGAACGCUGCUCGCUGCCAUUCGUAAGGUUGGAAGCCUCUAUCCUGUCCCCCCUUGCCACCUUUCCCUAAACUUAAAAAGCCCCAGACUCCAGCCCCCUCCUCGGUUGGGUUCCCCUCUUCUGCUCCUUUUCCAGUGGUAGACUCUCCUUUUUCAGAGGGAUCAACCAGAACUCUACAGCUUAUUCAAAGUGUAGCCGCGUCGUAUCUGGAUUUAGAUCCCGCUUUUGGUCCAAAAGCACAUUUCCAAAGUGGCUUCCAUAGCAAAAGGAAUGAGAAAACAUCCUGAGGUUUCCGCAGCAGAAUAUUCAGCAAUAGACGAUGAGACCCCUAUCAGGAAGCCCAGCGAUCUCUGUGUGUAAGCAUCUGCCCUACAGCAAGAGCACAUUAGCACUUCCAGUUACCCAGUUGUUUAAUGUAAGCGCUUCUGAAAUGAUCUGGAUUGUACUUUGAGGCCUUGGUAUUAUUAUGUUUUUGUGUGGGGGGGGGGUGAUGAUUUGGAAGUCUGUGGUCCCAUUGGUUCAUUUCUUUAAUGUGAUUUGAACAUAUUAUUCCAUUAUUGUGAGCCGCCCAGGCCAGGGUUAAGAAACCCUGCCUAGGGACUUCUUUGUAUGGGGCAGCAUAAAAAGGUGAUAAAUAAAUAAUGUUACUCCUCAUUCUUAUCUGCCAUCCAUUAUGUUUCUCUUUAAGUAGAAAGCCUCGGAAGGAGGGCUUUCUAUUGUCAAGACAGUGUGUGGGGCAUAUUGGAUUUAUUUAGCACUAACUGACCCACACGGAGCAUCUGUGGGCUCUUUGGGGCCAGCUGUUCUCCCCUUGGUGCCAAGGAGAAAAGAGUUUCCAUUCCCCAAAGGGCUUACAGUCUAACAAAUUAAAGGAAUC